GACGUAGGGCGCGAGCGUUGUCCGGAUUUAUUGGGCGUAAAGAGCUCGUAGGCGGCUUGUCGCGUCGUCCGUGAAAACUUGGGGCUCAACCCCAAGCUUGCGGUCGAUACGGGCAGGCUCGAGUUCGGUAGGGGAGACUGGAAUUCCUGGUGUAGCGGUGAAAUGCGCAGAUAUCAGGAGGAACACCGAUGGCGAAGGCAGGUCUCUGGGCAUUAACUGACGCUGAGGCGCGAAAGCGUGGGGAGCAAACAGG
rnacentral:rRNA from 1 species